rnacentral:piRNA from 1 species
UCCCCUUCUAGGCCUUGAGUACCUUGUAAC